rnacentral:rRNA from 1 species
UGGGGAAUAUUGGACAAUGGGCGCAAGCCUGAUCCAGCAAUACCGCGUGUGUGAAGAAGGCCUGAGGGUUGUAAAGCACUUUCAGCGAGGAGGAAGGGUGUAAUGCUAAUACCAUUGCAUUUUGACGUUACUCGCAGAAGAAGCACCGGCUAACUCUGUGCCAGCAGCCGCGGUAAUACAGAGGGUGCAAGCGUUAAUCGGAAUUACUGGGCGUAAAGAGUGCGUAGGCGGAUAUUUAAGUCAUAUGUGAAAGCCCCGGGCUCAACCUGGGAAUUGCAUCUGAUACUGGGUAUCUAGAGUAUGGUAGAGGAUAGUGGAAUUUCUGGUGUAGCGGUGAAAUGCGUAGAUAUCAGAAGGAACACCAGUGGCGAAGGCGACUGUCUGGGCCAAUACUGACGCUGAGGUACGAAAGCGUGGGUAGCGAACAGG